CUCCUACGGGGGGCUGCAGUAAGGAAUAUUGGUCAAUGGACGCAAGUCUGAACCAGCCAUGCCGCGUGAAGGAUGAAGGUCCUCUGGAUUGUAAACUUCUUUUAUAUGGGACGAAAAAAGGGGAUUCUUCCUCACUUGACGGUACCAUAGGAAUAAGCACCGGCUAACUCCGUGCCAGCAGCCGCGGUAAUACGGAGGGUGCAAGCGUUAUCCGGAUUUACUGGGUUUAAAGGGUGCGUAGGUGGGCAGGUAAGUCAGUGGUGAAAUCUCCGGGCUUAACCCGGAAACUGCCAUUGAUACUAUCUGUCUUGAAUAUCCUGGAGGUGAGCGGAAUAUGUCAUGUAGCGGUGAAAUGCUUAGAUAUGACAUAGAACACCGAUUGCGAAGGCAGCUCACUACGGGAUCAUUGACGCUGAGGCACGAAAGCGUGGGGAUCAAACAGGAUUAGAUACCCCGGUAGUC
rnacentral:rRNA from 1 species